rnacentral:rRNA from 1 species
GACGUAGGGCGCGAGCGUUGUCCGGAUUUAUUGGGCGUAAAGGGCGCGUAGGCGGCUAGAUGUGUCAAAGGUGAAAUCCCUCGGCUCAACUGAGGAACUGCCUUUGGAACUGUCUGGCUUGAGGCCGGGAGAGGGUAGCGGAAUUCCCAGUGUAGCGGUGAAAUGCGUAGAUAUUGGGAGGAACACCAGUGGCGAAGGCGGCUUCCUGGACCGACACUGACGCUGAGGCGCGAAAGCUAGGGGAGCAAACGGG